UCCUCCCAUCCGCGAGCCCUAACUUUCCCCCAAUUUCUUCCUCCCAUCCGCGUGAAGUCCCGUCGGCUUUCUCCCAAUUCUGACCGUCUGAAGUCCCGUCGCCACCACCACCCCCAUCCUGCCCGUCCGUCGAAACCUUCUCCACCAACCCGUCGCCACCACCCCCGUCUUCUCCAAACCUCUCCAAUCAACCCGAAGCUUCAAAUCGUGGGCGUCGGUCGUCACCCCUCCCCUCCGCCGGAAAUCAAGGCCAAAGGAGAUGUCAUGGCUAUGGGCUGAAGCUUUGAGAAAAAAAGAAUGAAAAAUGAAAUGUGAGAUCUUAAACUUUGAUGGUGUGUAGGGUCUUUUUGUUUGUCUAUGCAUUUUCCAAGUGAAUUUUAGUACUUUUGAUUUUUCUAUUGAUAUUUUGUUUAUGGUUGCUAUUGAGUUGCUUUGAUUGAAGGAUAGAGGGAAGUGAUUAUUGAUAAUUAUAGGAAAGGCAGUAUUUGUUGAAGGAAUUCCCCGUGAACUGGUUUCUUGUAAGAAGUAUUGUAAAGUUUUGAAGGUUGGGUUGUGGUAAUGGAAGCACCGUUAUUCCAAUCUUGCGCGGUAACCUCCAACCAAGCUAAUUUUAAAGGUGUCAAGUGUAUUUUGAUUUUGGAGAAGAAUUCAGAUGACAAAAGCAUCAAGAAGUCGAUCGUUGGUCUGGAAAGUUAGUGAUAAACAUCCAGGUUGGAUAUGCUUCAGCUGAGACUUUUUAGUUCAAUAGAGAAUCAUACAACAUUUUAGUUGGAGGUAUAUCUUUUCUGUUAAAUUUUUCAUGUAGGAUUUUGAUAUUUUUUUUUCGAUGCAGAUGGUCGUAUCAGGUACGAUUUUCUCAAAUAAUUCUCGGAUUUUUGUUUUUCGCUCAUUAACUUGUUUAAUUUGUUACUGAAUUCUACCUUCCAAUUCUACCAAUAAUAUUCAACCAGGUAUUUAUUUGGAUUAAAUUUGCUGAGAUAAAAUUUCUAUGGCUGGGCUGGGAUGCAGGGGGAGGAAUUCAUUAGAUUGUUAUUAGCAAAUACCACUAUUUGUUGGGCUAGGAUGCAUAUUGGUGCUUAAAAACUCUUUCUUCACUCAACAAAUUUUAUCAAUGCUUUUAACUCAUUCCUCCAUUUGUUCAUGGAAUUAUGUAAUGAUGAUUUGAUGUAAAUCCUUACUAAUUAAGAAUCUUGGCUACAAUCUUCUUGGCUUGACAUUCAGCUAAGUUAAAGUUAAUUGUGAAAUCUUCAUUUCUUUCA